rfam:Treponema maltophilum ATCC 51939 genomic scaffold aczIZ-supercont-complete, whole genome shotgun sequence.
GCCGACAUGGAUGUCGGAGAAGCUUUAAAUAUGCGAGUUUAUGCGGUGUAUAAACUCGGAGUAAGAAUUGUACAGGACGUAUAAUUCUUACUCGCC